rnacentral:rRNA from 1 species
GACGAACCGUGCGAACGUUAUUCGGAAUCACUGGGCUUAAAGCGCGUGUAGGCGGGACGGCACGUCGGCCGCUGAAAUCCCCCGGCUCAACCGGGGAAGGGCGCCGAUACGACCGCCCUGGAGGGACGUAGGGGGGGCUGGAACUUCCGGUGGAGCGGUGAAAUGCGUUGAGAUCGGAAGGAACGCCCGUGGCGAAAGCGAGCCCUGGACGCCUACUGACGCUGAGACGCGAAAGCCAGGGGAGCGAACGGG